GAUGAACGCUGGCGGCGUGCCUAAUACAUGCAAGUCGAGCGAACGGACGAGAAGCUUGCUUCUCUGAUGUUAGCGGCGGACGGGUGGGUAACACGUGGAUAACCUACCUAUAAGACUGGGAUAACUUCGGGAAACCGGAGCUAAUACCGGAUAAUAUUUUGAACCGCAUGGUUCAAAAGUGAAAGACGGUCUUGCUGUCACUUAUAGAUGGAUCCGCGCUGCAUUAGCUAGUUGGUAAGGUAACGGCAUACCAAGGCAACGAUGCAUAGCCGACCUGAGAGGGUGAUCGGCCACACUGGAACUGAGACACGGUCCCGACUCCUACGGGAGGCCGCCGUAGGGAAUCUUCCGCCAUGGGCGAAAGCCUUACGGCGCACCGCCGCGUGAGUGAUGGAGGUCUUCCGAUCGUAAAACUCUGUUAUUAGGGAAGAACAUAUGUGUAAGUAACUGUGCACAUCUUGACGGUACCUAAUCAGAAAGCCACGGCUAACUACGUG
rnacentral:rRNA from 1 species